GAUGAACGCUAGCUACAGGCUUAACACAUGCAAGUCGAGGGGAAACGACAGAGGAAGCUUGCUUUUGAUGGGUGUCGACCGGCGCACGGGUGAGUAACGCGUAUCCAACCUGCCCACCACUUGGGGAUAACCUUGCGAAAGUAAGACUAAUACCCAAUGAUAUCCCACGAAGGCAUCCGAAUGGGAUUAAAGAUUUAUCGGUGAUGGAUGGGGAUGCGUCUGAUUAGCUUGUUGGCGGGGUAACGGCCCACCAAGGCAACGAUCAGUAGCCGGACUGAGAGGUUGAACGGCCACAUUGGGACUGAGACACGGCCCAGACUCCUACGGGAGGCAGCAGUGGGGAAUCUUCCGCAAUGGACGAAAGUCUGACGGAGC
rnacentral:rRNA from 1 species